GACGGUUUGGCUGUGUGGUCUAAGGCGUCAGAUUUAGGCUCUGGUCCGAAAGGGCGUUGGUUCAAAUCCCACAGCCGUCA
rfam:Ipomoea nil DNA, scaffold: scaffold3210, cultivar: Tokyo-kokei standard.